UACGUAGGGUGCGAGCGUUGUCCGGAAUUACUGGGCGUAAAGAGCUCGUAGGUGGUUUGUCGCGUUGUUCGUGAAAACUCACAGCUCAACUGUGGGCGUGCGGGCGAUACGGGCAGACUGGAGUACUGCAGGGGAGACUGGAAUUCCUGGUGUAGCGGUGGAAUGCGCAGAUAUCAGGAGGAACACCGGUGGCGAAGGCGGGUCUCUGGGCAGUAACUGACGCUGAGGAGCGAAAGCGUGGGGAGCGAACAAG
rnacentral:rRNA from 1 species